AUACUUACCUGGCAGGGGAGAUACCAUGAUCACGAAGGUGGUUUUCCCAGGAUGAGGCUCACCCAUUGCACUCCAGAUGUGCUGACCCCUGCCAUUUCCCUAAAUGUGGGAAACUUGAUUGCAUAAUUUGUGGUAGGUAGUGGGGGACUGCAUUCGCGCUAUCCCCUA
ensembl:snRNA U1 U1 spliceosomal RNA